AUAGUUAAAGCAAUAGCAGAGGCUGAAGGUCAAGCGCAUAAAGCAAUUGACUGAGGAUCAUAAAAGGAGAAUGCUUAUAGAACGGAUGCAAGGUGAAAGAGAUAAAUGGCUUGCUGCGAUCAACACAAUCUUUGGUCAUAUUGAAGAGAAGUUGCUAAAGUUA